rnacentral:lncRNA from 1 species
ACCAAAUGUUCUGAAUAUAAAAAAUAAAAACGUACUUUAAGUAAAAAGUCGGAAGAUAUGUGACAUCCUGUUAUAUGAAAAUGACAUGGACAUCUACAACACUUCCUGAUAAUAAGUGAACAGAAUGAAAGGUAAGCAAUGUUAUACAAUUUUCCGUUUCAAUACAUAAUAAAGUUUGCAAAGGAAAAAAGUAUAUGCAAAUCUUAGCUAAAAGACCUUUCCAAGUAAUGGUGUAAGAUAGUUACAUCACUUAAUGAUUCUAUGAUUAAAAGUUACUAUAUUACAUUUGUUCAAUAUUACGUCAAAAUAAUUAUCGGUAAGUGUAUAAUAAGGUAUGUACCAUUGAAUUCGGAGGGAGGGGAAUGCCUAGAGCAUUUAAUUUCAUAGUAAAAACCUUUCCAUAGACUAUUCAAUUUAACACAUAUUUACAACUCAAGUAAUCUUUUAAUUGGUUUAUUGAUCAUAGUUUAUUUUCACUGACUACUUAAUUGUAUUACUGGUGUUUAUAAAACAGAGUUCAAUAACCAACUAAGUUGAAUUUGGAAAAUAGCGGUUUAUAUUUCAAUCUCACAUAAUUAUAUGAUUUAAAAAGGCCCUCGAGUCCAGAAUAAAAAAAAAUGUAUUUUGCUGGUUUAAAUAUGUAUCUUGAUAUAAAGUAGUGUCUUACUUCAUGUACUUUUUUUUCGUGGUAACUUGACAACAUGAAUUGACAUUAAAUUACAGAGGAAGCUUUACAACUUUUGAAAACAUUUUUCAAUUUCACAGCUAAACUUAAAUUUUACAGAUAUUAUAUGUUGUGCUCAUAGCUAGUUAAGCGACUAUGUAUUUAAAAUCAACUAACAAUAAAUCAAAGAUUAUAGUUUGUGUUUUUAUUUUCCAAGUAAAAACUAAAAGCGUUAUAAGAAUAUAGAUAUUGGGGGUAUAUUUCCUUCAGACAUAAUCACUUUUUCUUAAUUCAUGAUGAUAUGGACCCAUUUCUUUUAGAAUAAAAAAAAAACAUUUUUUUCUUAAUUUUCUUCACAAGGUUUUCAUUCGUUUUAAGCAAGUACUAAACUUUAAUGAAGAUAUAAGGACCAUAUGUGUUAUUCUUUAUUCCAAUGAUACAAACUUGCAAUUGUCAAAAAGAUUUCUUAAUAUUCAAUUUUUCAAAUAGCAAGAUAAAUAAGAAUCGAUGAGAUAACUAAUUACAAACUUUUAUUUUAUUUUGAAUUUGGGACACAUCAUUUUAUUCCAAAAUAACUAGUGGCAAUUUUUGGUUCUGAAUGUUUUGAUUACGAUACAGCAAAGUCUUAUCAUUGUCGUCAGUCAUGCACAGUUGCUACAUAUAACACGGGAAUAGUAUGUUAUAUAGAACUUAGAGGGCAAGUUCUAUCAAUUUGAUUGGAGUAGAAGUUGUAAGUAUGUGGUUAAUGUUGACCUGUCUGUGCAUGCAAUUACGUUUUUAGCCUUGAGUUAAAUACUAUUUAAACCGUUGCUGUGAAGUCAUCCUGUUUAUUUAACAUGGUUUAUUUUACUAGAAUCAACGGUUCGUAGGGCUGUUGCUGAAAGAAAUCACCAACUCGUGUUUAAUUCUUAACUUUAUGUGUGUCAUUUAAUUAAGUUUGAACAGGUUAAUUUAUAUUUACUGAUUUCUUGUAACUAAUGGAAUUAAUUUAAAAACUUAAGUUGAAAUUUUGUAAUUGUUAUAUACCUUCACGAGGAAUUAAACCCCUCCUUAAAGUCUGUUAUGUGUGACUGGCAUUAUCACACCGAGGAAACCACUCGGCUACCAAUGGGUUGCAACUUAUUUGUAUAAAUAAACAUAUGAUACGCAUCGGUACAACGAACACCAUGGGCAUGUGCCUUUAUAUAUACAAUAUAGACUAUCGUGUAGUCACAACCCGUGAGGUUACAAUCAAUAUGUUAGAGACAAGUUAGAAGAAGAGACUAAUCGGUUUAGGUUUUAAAGGAGUAGGUCCAGUAAGACCCCUUUUUGCCCCCAAAAUAUAGCAGUUUUACAAAAUUGUUAAAAACUAAACGUUUAGUUAUUUAUUGGAAAGUAGAAUGCAUCUGCUACAUAAAUAUAGCCUGUUUUUUACAAUACAAUGCACAUGUAUCGGGUUCUUGCAUCAUUAAGUCAUGCUAAAUUACUGAAAUCUUCACAAUUUUAGCAUUUGAGUUAAAUUUUAGACGGUUUCCGUCUUAAGUGAAAGUGGCCGCAUUCGUGUUCAUUCUUAAUAUUGAAAUUUAAGUUGUAUAUGAUGAUAAUACAUAACAUAUAUAAAGGUUGAGGAUGUACACGGAUGCGGCCACUUUCAUUUUUGAAAAAAACCCUCUGAAAAGUGACAUUUUUUUUUGCAUAUUAGAUAGAUUUUUCAUCGGAAUCGGAACGUUUUUAAUGACUUAAUCGGUUAAAAUCUUUCACAUAAACUAAUUGAUUCGACUGAAAUAGACACUUAAGUGUUUAAAAAAUGUUCAAAAUCUUUCGUCCUGAAAUUUGAAGCCCUUAUAUUUAGUUUUAAUUGUUUUUUUUGUAUGUUAUUGUGGAAUUUUAGCAAUAACAGCCUAAUUUCUAAUUUAUUUUGGAUUAUUAUAAGCUAUUUUACGUAUUUGAAAAGAAAAUUAUUACAUUCAAUUUGUCUACUUUUUAUUUUUAUAAAUAGUAUGAUUUUAUCUGUUUUUCUUAAUAUCUUAACACAUGUUUGUUCGCAAAAUCCUAAACAAGGUAAUCGUGGUGUGCCUAGAAUUAAUAGAAAUUUCUGUUACAAACUUAGUAUAUAUACUUAAAAAUAUGUUCGAAUAUGUCUUAUUUUGUAAAUUUUGUAAAUUACGGAUAACAUUCAGAUAAUCCGCUGUUCAAAGUCAUAAAUUGAUUGAGGGAAAACUAAUUCGAGUUUAAAACUAAAACCGAGGGAAACAUAUCAAGAGGAAAACAACAGAACAACAGAAACACUGAAAUGCAACAUAAACAAACGCCAACGUACAUAGAAACGAACUAUUUGAUAACAACUGCCAUAUUACUGACUUGGUACAGGACAUAUUCUAUAAAAUUCAGAGGCAAUGGGAGGGUGGGAAGAAGACAAGGGUGAUAAGAAACUCUUUUGUCUUCAUUGAUUUGAAGGAGUAACAAAAUCCGAGCCAAUAGUAAAAAAUGAAAAUAAACUAUCCUGAUUUAUUUUCAGAUAAAGAAUUAUAAUGGCUUUGUGAACUUGUGACAGAAUAAAUUCGGAAAAAAGCCAGUUAAACCAUGACAACUUUUGUCUGAAAUACACGUAUCUAUGAAUGAUAUUGAAUGUUUAUGCAAUCGAAACAAACAACAAAUAUAUCUGAAG